rnacentral:tRNA from 4 species
GCUACGGACUUAAAAUCCGUCGAU